GAUGAACGCUGGCGGCGUGCCUAAUACAUGCAAGUCGAGCGAACAGACGAGGAGCUUGCUCCUCUGACGUUAGCGGCGGACGGGUGAGUAACGCGUGGAUAACCUACCUAUAAGACUGGGAUAACUUCGGGAAACCGGAGCUAAUACCGGAUAAUAUAUUGAACCGCAUGGUUCAAUAGUGAAAGACGGUUUUGCUGUCACUUAUAGAUGGAUCCGCGCCGCAUUAGCUAGUUGGUAAGGUAACGGCUUACCAAGGCAACGAUGCGUAGCCGACCUGAGAGGGUGAUCGGCCACACUGGAACUGAGCCACGGUCCAGACUCCUACGGGAGGCAGCAGUAGGGAAUCUUCCGCAAAGGGCGAAAGCCUGACGGAGCAACGCCGCGUGAGUGAUGAAGGUCUUCGGAUCGUAAAACUCUGUUAUUAGGGAAGAACAAAUGUGUAAGUAACUAUGCACGUCUUGACGGUACCUAAUCAGAAAGCCACGGCUAACUACGUG
rnacentral:rRNA from 1 species